rnacentral:rRNA from 1 species
UACGGGGGGAGCAAGCGUUGUUCGGAUUACUGGCGUAAAGGGCGCGUAGGCGGCGCGGUAAGUCACUUGUGAAAUCUCUGAGCUUAACUCAGAACGGCCAAGUGAUACUGCAGUGCUAGAGUGUGGAAGGGGCAAUCGGAAUUCUUGGUGUAGCGGUGAAAUGCGUAGAUAUCAAGAGGAACACCUGAGGUGAAGACGGGUUGCUGGGCCAACACUGACGCUGAGGCGCGAAAGCCAGGGGAGCAAACGGG